GGGCGUGCGUUCUCCAGCCCGUCAGAUGGCCAGAGGCCUCGACGCCUCGUCGCGGCCGCGCUCCGCAUCAGGGCGACGCCGGCUCUACGCGCGGUGAGCCAGUGAGCAGCAAGAUCAGUCUACUCUCCCUCCCCAUUCGGAAAAGCAUGAGAGAAAUGUGAAAGCGAAGGGAGGAGGGAGAGGAGUCGGUCCACUGAGGAGACUGUAGCAUUGGAUGAGAUCAACUUUGUAAGGUGGUUUCAAGACUCCAUGUCUGUGUUGCCAAGGUCUGUGGUUGGUUUUGUUGCGUGUUGAUGCGUGAGCUAUGCAUUUUUUUUUAAUAAUUUGCUUUUCUACAUUCUCAAUGUCUUGACUAGUUUUUGAUAUCGUGAUGGUGUAGAGCCUGGAUAUAAUUUGCAUCUUCUUGCUAUUAACAUAUCCACGUUAUCGUAGAAAUGUGCAAAAUGUUA